UUCCUGAUGCUGAUGUGAUGCUCUGAACUGGCUAGGGAACAACAAUCUGAUUGGUGGGAAGUGGAAGAGUCCAGCCCACCGCCUUCUUAAGUUGGCUGGCAUUGUCAAAGAAGGAAAUUGCCAGAAAGAAAUGUAACCCUCUAAGUACAGUAACGUAAACCAGAAGAAUGUGAUUCUGAUGACACUCUUAUCCCAUCCUGUGAACAAACGUUCGGGAGAAGUGAAAGAACCCCAUGGGAUAAAAGGCCCCCUUCUCCAUCAUGAAAAUGUAUCAGUUAAGAAAGUGCCUGCAUCUGGAGUCCUCUGAGCCCCCCACAGAUACAAGUCGAGGGCCGACUUUCCUGUUUGUCCUUUUCUUCCCAUGGAAACAGAAUCCACAGUGGAGCAAAGAUGGUCCUGGAUGCCUUAAGAGGGAAACGUUGAACACCACAUAAAUAAAGGUUGACUUGGUGCAGAAGUGUACAGUGCCAUGUCCCUGCAUCUUCAUGGAGAAAUGUAUUCUUUCCACAUGAGAAGCAACACCGUCCAUGGAGCAGAGGCAGUGCCACACGCGCAGCGCCAUGGCCUUCCAGGAGAAGUACUGAAGCCUUUCAGCUGCCUUGACUCUGUGCCUUUCACACCAGGCCUCAUCCAGGACCCCAGAGAUAGGAUCGGGUGUAAGAGCAUUAGGUUGCAUGAAAAUAGGGCACCGCUUUUAGAUGGCGCUCCCCUGAGACGUUGGGAGAGGCGACAGGAAAUGGUGAACUUGGGGGCAGAAGGGAACUGGUGGAUUGAAGCUAGUUGGCCGGUCUGUGGCUUAAUGAUCUGCUGUGACAGACAAAGGGAGACUAGGGCAUGGUUAUAUAUUUUAAGCUAUCAGGUCAAAUGGAAAAAUCAGAAAAGGCAAGGAGUGAGCUUUUAACCAGUAUUUCUUGUCUGCCUGUGGAUGGGGGUGGACACAUCGGUCAGCAAAGUGGUAAAAAGAUAGGGCCUCUUCCUUCUCACAUCCAUGAAGGUCAGUUUCAGUGCUUUCUUGUGUUGGAAAGGGAAGAAUCUUGAAUUAAAUUACACGGCCUUAUAUUUUAGGACGAUCUCGAAUUCAAUUACAUGGCUUGAUAUUUCAGAACGUGUUGAUAAUCCGAAAUCUCUCAUUUCCCAUAGCAUAGAGACAGGCGAUUCUGCUUUUCUCAAAAUUACCUUUUCUCAAAAUUACCUUCUGACAAAACAAUGAUAGAGCCUACUUUAGUCAUUAGAUAAUAGAGGAAUAAUGAUUCAGAAGUUUUUGUCAUAGGAUUUCUACAUCGUUUUCUUAAACUCUAUGGAGAAAUAGAUGGUCGCACAAAACCCGAAUCCAUGGAAAGUGUAAUUCCCUGAGUUCCGACAGUUACAUUGACCUGAGAAACCACUGCCAGAACCAAGAUACAGAACAUUUCUUAUUUAUUUAUUUAUUUAUUAUUUAUAGCAGAGUUGAUUUACAGUGUUGUGCCAAUUUCCGCAGUACAGCGAGGUGACCCAGUCAUACAUACUAUCUUCCACCAUGGUCUGUCUCAAGAGAUUGGACAGGAGUUCCCACUGCGGCACAGCAGAAAUGAACCUGACUACUAUCCAUGAGGACGUGGGUUUGAUCCCUGGCCUCACUCAAUGGGUCAAGGAUCCAGCAUUGCUGUGAACUGUGCCGUAGGUCACAGAUGAGGCUCCGAUCCUGGGUUGCUGUGGCUGUGGCAUAGGUGAGAAGCUGUAGCUCUGAUUCGACCCCUACACUGGGAACCUCCAUGUGCCGAGAGUGCGGCCCUAAAAAUCAAAAAAAAAAAAAAAAAAAAGAGAGAGAGAGAGAGAGAGAGAGAAAGAGAUUGGACAUAGUUCCCAGGGCUGCCCGGUAGCAUUUCAUUGCUUAUCAUCCUACACGGAAUAGUCUGCCUCUCCAUCACUUGAGGGAGGUUCCUCCUGCCCCUUUUCAGUCUUUCCCUCCCUCCACCCACCACAGCCAACCACUGGCCUUUUGCCCACAUCUUUUUUCAAAGCCAGAAAUGUGUUUGAGUCAGCUUCUGGUGAGGGGGAAAGAGGGCUACGGGGGAAGAAAGAACUUCCAGGGUUUUUCUGAAAGACCAUCCAAAGUCCAUGUCACGCAUAGGUUGCUAUUCACAAAGAGCUGGGGGGAACGCCCUAUUCCCUCCAUCACUGUCCUGAUGCCAGGGAAGGGCAGACAGGGCUGAAGUCAAGCCCAGCUCUGAGCAUGGGAGAGACGCAGGGGGAGACCAGAUAAGGCCUCUUUUCCUCUGGUUGAUCAGGCAAUACAAAUUUGAUAGCUGGAAGUGUUAGGACACGUGCAAUUCUGGGGGCGGGGAGAGCACUGGCUGAGCCAGGGGCCCUACCUGUGUGGUUUCACAGGUCCUGCUCCCAACUGCUUUCAUUCCUCCAAGUCAAGUGAGAAGGCGGGGUUGAAUGAUCUUCAGAGACCCUUCCUGGUCUAAAAAUCCCAUAAAUAAGGUCUUUAAAACGCCACUGACUGCGGGUUAAGCAAUUGAAAUAAAAACAGACCACUGAAAAUUUGUAAAAGAAAU
rnacentral:lncRNA from 1 species